UUGGUGUCCUGUCUGCUGGGGUUAAGGUAUUUAAAAGACUCCUUCUCCCCAGCUUCACCAGUAGAGUAUACCAACCUUUCAAAGGUUUCCUCGAGAACAGUAUUCUUCAGAUAAUCCUCCAGAGAAGAUAAGAUCUUCAUGAGGAACUCAGCACAGUCACCUUCGUUGUUAAUAUUCUUUUUCCAAACCUUGCAAAAGUUACUCAUACACUGCGAUAUCUCAUCUUCUCCUACCUGGUUAAGCAAGGCAGUUAACAUGAGCUGAAGAGCUAGAAUCUUAUCACUGGCGAAUGAGGACUCUGUAGGUAUAGCAAGAAUCAGGUCAUGAUAGCUUUUCACAUUAGAUGAGAUAUCGCAGUGUAUGGGUACCUAAUUUUUGGAAAAGGCGUUUUUCACACUAAAAUUUGAAACUACCUAAUUUUAAAGUUGUUUUUAUUCAGGCAAACUGUUGGAUGUGCUUCUACCUUGUUACUGGGCUACUAUACAAUUCAAAUCACGGGACAGAAUUUUUUAUGUUUCAAUUUUUUCUUAAACUUUAUUAUUUUAAAAUUUUGUAACGUUUCAUAACUAAGAAAUCCUAUUUGUACACUUGGUUUUUAACCACCAAAACUUAAGGAUGAACAUUUUUAGGUAAUUUCUUCAAAGUUUGGUUUUAAAAGAGGUUAUUUCUAAUCAUUUCAAUGAAACGUAAUUUGCCAGCUACUUAAUUCAAACUAAAAACUGGGGGUGAAUGUAUAGUAGUAUCCCGUCUACGGACCUAUGAUAAAGAAUACUUCUAAGGUCGAUCUAUCCAUUUAAUUUGGUAGUGUACUAUACUUUUCAUAAGUAAUGUACUAAUUAUUUCAGUUAAUAACCAGACUAAGGGAGCUAUCUUGCAGUACUCAUUAAGUGGAAAUGAAUUGAUUUAGAAAACCUACAAAUUGAAGUUGAACAACGAGAAGAAAAGAAAUUUAAUUGAAUUAAAUUUCAGAACUCAAAUGGAUAAAAUCUGUAAGUUCUACCAAAACGGGAGAUGCUGGCGAGAUAAAGCAUGUAGAUUUAGACAUGUCCUGAUGGCAAAAAACGAACCUAAGGAAAGAAGAACUAGAUCUCCUGAUAGAUCUGAUUAUCAAAAGAGCUAAAUAGACCAGGAGUACGUCAGUUCCAGAUUAAGGACUGGGUCUAAAGAUAGAAGAAGAGAAAUGGAAAAUCCUAAGCAAAAAACUGACUCAAGAUUGAGGCGUGAAUAUUCGACAUUCCAGAACCUAAGGAAUGAAUCUAGACAUUAUAAUCAAGACAAGAAUGCAAAGAAGUAAGAAAAAACGAGUUUAAUCAAUCCUUAGGCUUUAAUAUUUAAUAACUAGGAACUUAGGAAAUUAGUUGAAUAUACUUCAAUGGAAUACUUCAAUGACGAAUAUUUCAAUUGAAUUACUUGAUAUUUUUGGGGUUUUUAAAAAUUUUUUUUGGAAAAUAAAGUCAAAGAAGAACAAGUAAUUAAACCUGAUUAUUCAAAUUCUUCUAA